rnacentral:misc_RNA from 1 species
GUGUAAACUCAUAUGCCUGCCAGAGAGGAAAUCAUUAAAAUACAAAUUAAUAAAAGCAAAAGGCAAGCAAAUCAGGACCAGAUGAUAUAUAGAGAAGCUCAAUCUAUUGGUAUCAUAUUUUCAAUAUGAGUAAAGCGCAUGCAUUAAAUCUAAAUGAAAAGACUGCAGCUAGUAAAGCUGAUAACAAUCUCUCAAGUUCAAAAUUGAACAUAUGAAAAAG